UGAACAUCAAGAAAAAUCGAAGUGGCAAACUGACCUCUUUGACUGUUGCAGUGAACCCUGUUUAUGUUUUAAAGCGUGCAUCUACCCAUGUGGCAUAUUUUCAAGAGUUGCUAGUUUGGUUUCGCAUGGGAAGAUAAGUAAGUGUCACUGACACAUUGUCUACUAAUUUACAACUCGUGAACAUGCACUGAAUGAUCUGUUGACAUACUCCUUAUUCUGUGGUUGUUGCUGUUAUACUUGUUGUGUAAGAA
rnacentral:misc_RNA from 1 species